UAUCUCUGUAGAGUCUGCAUAUCAAUAAGCGGAGGAAAAGAAACUAACAAGGAUUCCCUUAGUAACGGCGAGUGAAGCGGGAAGAGCUCAAAUUUGAAAUCUUCAAGGUUCUACCUUGACGAAUUGUAGUUUAAAGAAGUGUUUUCUGUUGGAGUUUUGGUAAAAGUUCUUUGGAAUAGGACAUCAUAGAGGGUGAGAAUCCCGUAUUUGACCAUUAUUUCAGCUGUGUGAUACACUUUCAAAGAGUCGGAUUGUUUGGGAAUGCAGUCCAAAAUGGGUGGUAAAUUUCAUCUAAAGCUAAAUAUUGGCGAGAGACCGAUAGCGAACAAGUACCGUGAGGGAAAGAUGAAAAGAACUUUGAAAAGAGAGUUAAACAGUACGCUGAAAUUGUCAAAAGGGAAGCGUUUGACACCAGUGUUGUUUUCUCGAAAAUCAAUUACGAAUGGCUUGAUUCUGUGUUGUAUUGACCUUAUCAGCUUUCUUCACUUUUUUCGUGUCUUUCUUAAUGCACUUUUCGGUUAACAAGUCAACAUCAAUUUCUUUUGUUGUAAAAGAGUCAUUGGAAGGUGGCUUUCACUUCGGUGAAAGUGUUUAUAGCCUUUGGCUUCUGCAAUCGGAGAGAUUGAGGUCUGCAGCGUAGUUCCUUCGGGGCUAGAUACGUAGAUGCUAAGUUAUAGUUUUUUAUAGACAACUUGUUGACUAUAAUUAAUCAUGUAGCUUACUCGUUUGCGCUAUUUUACCUACGCUUAAGGAUGUUGAUAGUCACAGCGUGUAC
rnacentral:rRNA from 1 species